GGGAUCGCAGGAAGCGAUCCC
rnacentral:misc_RNA from 1 species